AAAGUCUUUUCUAAGUGCUAAGUCACUGAUUUAGAAAAGUAAUUGCAUACUAUAAUUGGCAAUGACUAAUUUUAUUAUAUUCUGUAUUCAUUUUCUUUUAUUGCUCUAAUGAGAUGCUACAAAUUUGGUAGCUUAAACACAUAAUUUUUUGGAAGUUAUCAGUAUAAAUAUGGAUCUCUUAGGCUACAAUCACUUUGUCAACUGAGUUGUGUUCUGUGGAAUAUUCUAUGAAGAGAAUGUACUUCCUGUCUGCUCCAGCUUAUAAGAGUGUGCCAACAUUGCUUGACUUGUAGGCAUUCCAGUAGUAACCUCAUUGAUACCCAUUUUAAUUAUUGAACCAUCUCUCCCUCUGCUUCUAUCGUCAUGGGCCUGUGUUGGUGGGGUGUGUAGGUACCGUGGGCUUGCCAUGGACAUCAAUCACCUUGGGAGGGAGCAGGUGAGACAGUGAUCACACCAGCUGAUGAGAGCAUAUCCUCACUGCUGCUGACAUUAGAGGACAUCUACCACGCCCAAAUUGUGUGUCAGCCUGGAUGCUUGGAGCAUGCCUGCCUGCUGCCUGUCCCGGCCAGCACAUGCCUCUGGAAAUCCACUGAAGGAGCAGGCAUUGCACUAAGACACAGAUGCAUGAUUCAAGGGUAGAAGCCAUCGGAGGAGAAAACCAACAAGUGUUUCCACAAAUGCCUAAAAGUAAAUGUAGAAGUAAGAGAAACAUGGACAAGGAAGAGACUAUGACAUCCACAAAAGAGCACAACACUGCAGUAUUAGAAUGUGAGGAUACUGAGGAAAUGACUGAAAAGGAAUGCAAAAGAUGAUCAUAAGAUUACUCAAAAACAGUGAGCAGCAAAUUCUUGGGGUGAGAGAGAGAGAGACAGAGAGAAAAGUCUUCCUUCUGUUGGGUCACUCCCCAAAUGGCCGCUGUGGCUAGCGCUGUGCCUAUCCGAAGCCAGGAGCCAGGUGCUUCUUCCUGGUCUCCCAUGCAGGUGCAGGCACCCAAGCACUUGGGCCAUCCUCCACUGCCUUCCUGGGCCAUAGCAGAGAGCUGGACUGGAAGAGGAGCAACUGGGACUAGAACCCGGCGCCCAUAUGGGAUGCUGGCGCCGCAAGUGGAGGAUUAACCAAGCAGAGUGGUCAAUGAGAGAGAGACACACACAGAGAAAGGUCUUCCUUUGCCGUUGGUUCACCCUCCAAUGGCCGCUGUGGCCAGCGCACCACGCUGAUCCGAAGCCAGGAGCCAGGUGCUUCUCCUGGUCUCCCAUGGGGUGCAGGGCCCAAGGACUUGGGCCUGAGCAGAAAGCUGGACUGGAAGAGGAGCAACUGGGACAGAAUCGGGCGCCCCGACUGAGACUAGAUCCUGGUGUGCCGGUGCCGCAGGCGGAGGAUUAGCCUAUUGAGCCAUGUGCCAGCCCAUAUGCAUAUCUCUUAAAGACUAAAAUUUGCAAACUUUCUGGUAAUUCUCUAGUUACAAAAAUUUUAGCUGAUCUGAAAUUAAAUGUUUAUGGAUGACCCAUUGCUUUGCUUUAUUUUUCGCUUCACAGAAAUGGCCAGCCUGAUGUAAUAAGUAACAUGUGUUCCCUCCGCCAUCUGAUACCAUAUGCCAUACUCAUCACCCUGCAUACACAUUCACAGUCACACUCUAUACAGAAAUACAUAAAUGUACGGGCAUCCCUUAACACAUCCCCCUCUUGUUUUUCUCUUUGUAUCUCCAUACUAGAAGGUAGUCAGGAUGAUUUAGAAAGAUUAAGCUACCUGUAACAUUAUAAUGAUUUGGUUUCUAAUAGCCAGGAGUAUAGGCAGUCAUUGGGAACAUGGUAUGGCCUCAGAGUGGUGAGGUAUGGAUUGAGACAGAUGAUGCCCUAGAAUCCUAGAUCUGUGGAGUUAGUUCUAAAUAUCAGCACUGGCAAGUUGUUCCCGUCAGUGUUUCACCUGAUUAUUUUUUCCAACUCAUCAGGAGAUUCAUUCUCAGCAUCACUUGAGGUACUUAUAAAUUUAGUCUCACUGUGCACUUGUCUGAGCCUCCUACUCACCUGGAUCAUCUGCUACUUUUCUGUUGGGAGCGUGGCCAAGUCCAGAGGCAAGAGAACAUGUUCUGGAUAUUGGUAAAUGCUUUAUGGCUCCUAGGAUCCUGGAAUCCCCUGAAAAAUUUCUGUGGAGAAUUCAAAGGAAGAGUUGUCUAGGGUUGAUACAUGAUGAAAACAGAGGGAGUUUCUUCCUAAACUUACUAAUAACUGAUAAGAAUGGUUAGGAUAUAUUGUAGCAAUGGUUUUCUGACAGUAAAGGGAAAUUUCUCCAAAUGAUCAUACAAGGACUUAAUGAAGUUAUUCUCAAUGAAUGGCAACCAACAGAGUACUCCUAAGACUCAUACAACUGGGAAACUAUUCUGUUUGUGAAGUUCCAAGUUUUUGUAGUUCAAGCACAUGUCUCAUUUCCUAACCUUUAAAACAGACACUUGAUCAAGGGACUAGAUCCUCAUCUUGUGAAUAAUCAGUUGACAACAUCCUAGUUUGGCGAGAUUAUCACUUUUUGCUAAAGUCUACACCAUCUGUUCUUCAUUCUAAUUACUGAUAAAAAAAGGACCUAAUUCACAAUUGGACCAUAAAAAGUUAAUUGUGAUUUAAGUACAUUUGUUUCAAAUGUAAAGACAUUUAAAUGAUGCUUCUGUUUCACAUUUUUCAAUAUGUUGACAUGGAUCAUAACAAAAUACUGGAAUAUGAGCAUAGAAAGCAAAUACAAAAAUUUCCAAAGGAACACUUCGUAUUAGCAUAUAGAUCUUAAAACUUAUGUUAUUAGCCAUUAUACUAAUGGUUCAAUAAAGGGAAUUUAUUAUAGAAUAAUAGGGCAUUUAAAACAGAAUUUAAAUUUUACAAAAUUCUUCCUCUUGUAUCCUUGCCCUAUUGCCCAAAAAAUUGUCAUUAAAUCCAGAUUUCAAUGGGAAUCAAGUUAAAUAAUAAUUUAUAAA